CUCCCGUGCUUUCUUCUUCCACGACAGCCACCAUCCUCACCCGGGGCCGGCAUCCUCCUCCUCCAGACCCUCUCUCCCCCUAGGCGGUUAGCAGCGCGGUGGAGGAACUCGGAGCAAUCCACUCCUUCCCAAGACGGAUGGCCACGCAGAAGAGGAUCUUAGGGAGCCCUCCCGAGAGGUUCUAGGGCGCCGGCAACAUCGCGCUCACCUUCGUGCGCCGGAGGCAGAGGGAGGCGUAUUUUCCGGCCGCUUCCCUGCAGCACGAGCGGGUGCCGCCACCCAGCAAUUCUUCGCGUCGGUCAUGCCGGCGUCGACGGAACAGGCGGCGGUACAUCCUGGUUGGCGCAGCAGGGGAACGGCAUCCAGGGCGAAGAGCCGGCGAUGGCCUUGGUCCACGAGCUAGCAGAUUUCGGGGAUUGGAGUUCAGGUCCCUAGGUGACUUCUUCCUUCAUUUAACAGAUAUUUCUUCUCUUAUCCGUUUGGAUGAUUUCUGGGAUGAAGUUCAGUUGUCAGUUUCUGGUUUGAUUAUUGAGAUUUUGCUCUGAUAGCAUUGCCUCCAGUGUAGUACAGGUGCUGCUGCUUUUGCAGGCCACCGGCGUCACCAAGGUCAGGGAGGCAGAGUAUGGCCGGCCUUGAUGAUUUUGACGUGUCAGUGUCUACAAACUCUUAUCUUGCUGCCUUAGGUGUGCUUGAGAGAUUUUGGAGACCAACUUGGACGGAAGACCAUGCCGAAUGAAGUUUGGACCUUCAGUAUGCAGGAGAGUGGUGGGCCAAAACGGAAGAUUGUGAAGCAGAACCCAUAACCUGGUCAAAUAGAGAAGGAUAAAGAGCUAUUGGUGCUUUCUGAAUGGUUUCAUAUAAAGGUAAUAGAAUUAUUCAUGCAGGUUUCUGAUUUCUGUUCUUUGUUAUUUCUAUUGUGUGAAAUUAAUCUUAAGAACAUUGAUUGUUCGCACGAAUUAUAGGGUCGCAAACAUCAUCACAUCACAUACCAGAGCAGUAGUGUUUCUAUUUUGUUCAUUUACUGACCUGGAGACAGAUCUGGGUGCUAAAGAAUUAGCAGGUGCCAUGGAUCUGAAUUGGUUACUGUAUAUUUGGAAUUGCUCCUUCAAUCUACCCUAGGCCUGGAAGGAUUUGAUGAUACCUCUAAAGAACAUGACCUUUAAAAGGAUCAUGUGAUUGUCAGUCAGAUUUCAUAUGCACAUUUAUACGCUGUGUACAAAGUAUGAGCACUGGAAUCUACUUCUCAGUUGCUACAUAUGUUUUUUUCCUUAUUGUGUGCUUGGCACAACUAUUGGCAUUCCAUUUAUAAUUGUUGCUGGUACAAAGAUGUUGAACUUUAAUGAGUUACAGAAAUAUGCUAGAUUUAGAAGAAUAAAAAUAGAAGGCAAGUAUUAAGCCUAACAGUUGGGAACUUACUAAUUACUUUGGGAAGCCCUCAAGAUCGUUAUCAUUAUCUAUAGCUUUGGGGCCAAAUACAGUAUGUGCAUGCUUGGCAUGCGUGUCUAAGCUUUUCUUUUUGCUUGAUUGCCGAUUAGGCAUGUUGUUGGACGUUUAGUUGUUUUCUGUUAUGAUUUGCUCAGAUUGUGUGCACUCACUUAAAUUACAUUGCCGCAGAGCUAUGUCAAUUUAUACUGUUGCCCUGCUCUAGGAGUUUGGCAUUAGCCUAUCAUUCUCUUACAGUUGAGUUAUAUCCAUUUUUUACAGGGGAAGUUUUUUAACAUUAUAUUCAUAGUUGUUUUAAAAACCCACCUGAUACUAAGUGCACGUGCUUCCCUAGAGCUGUGGUUCCCAAAUUAAAUCUUACAUUCAGGCAUUGCCUUCCAAUUUCAUAUCAUGUUCUGUCCAGUUAGUAUCCACUAAUUUUGCGCUUGGUGAAAAUCACAUAGACAAAACUUGGUUUAUGCACACUUACUAAUUUUGUAUAUUCAGCGGCUGGUUAGCUCAAGGGGAACAGGGCAUAGUUUAGGUUCCCACUUUUAUUUAUUUAGUGUUCCAGUAACCCCAGUUGAUUCAUGUAAGGUAAGCAGGUAUGUAUAUGUAGUUUUGCAGCCAAAGAACAAUGAAGAUAAGGUCACAAGAUUAGUGUGGCUUGCAAGAAUAGAAUAAUCAUGUGAGCCUAUUGCAAAAAUAGAUCUGGUCAUGCCCCCUAAUUAUCUUUUCUUAUUUCCUUUCGUAUAUCUAUACAAGUAGUGUCAUGUGACACCCAAUAUUUGAUAGUACCAACUUGAGAAGGAAUCUGGUGCAUGUACAACACAAAUUUGACAAAUAGGCGGCUUGCUGAGUUGCAUUAAGCUAUUUUGAAUAUUAUUUUUCGUGCUCUGGUUCAGUUUUGCAGAUUGAAUUAGAUUUGCAGUAUAUCUACAAACCUGAGAUAUGCAACAUGCAAGUUUUUUCUACAGGUACUCUCCUUUAUUUUGGAGUAGUCCUCUCCAUUCCAUGUUGUCAUUUUGAACAAAUUUUUAUCCAUCUUGCACAAAUAAUGUCUUUUUCACAUUGUUUUGCUUACAACUCACUAUUAGAUUUUGGGACUAGGACAUACUUCCAUUCUAUAGCUAAUGUCUGAAAUUGUUUGGAGGAAAUAUAGGUUUGUUGUCUCUUUCUACCAAAUGCAGAAGAUACUGGAUUAUUGGAUUUUCAUAAUGAUUUUUCCCCAGCAUUGUACUUAGCUGGUGUUCUUUUAGUUUGUAGCUGCAUUUGAAAGUAAGAAACUGAUAGAACAGUGCAACAUUUUAAAUUUUGGUUUAAACUGUAUUUGUAAUUGGAGAAAGAGGAGAUGCAAGGAUCCUGGGUGAUGAAAUAAUGUUGUAGUGAUAAAGGUUGGUUUUUGAAUCCACAAUGCUACUUCUAAAUAUAUUUGAUCCCCAAAUGCAUGUCCACCAAUACUGUUGUACACACAGGUCUACGGAACGAUCCCCAAGUUAUCCAUGCUUGACCACUACUCUAGCUAUUUCAUUUAUAUAUGCGUAGAAAGUGAUUGUUUAUAGAUUAUCUAUUUUAAUUUGUUUACUCAUCUUUCAUAUUUGUACGAGCAGUAUUGUGACGCAUAAGCCCUCUAUGCUGCACAAGGAUAUAACUAUGAUAAUUGGGAGGUGUAUAUAUCUUAUUGUACUCGGAUUCCAAUUAAUGUAAAUCACCAUGACACCAGCUACUCUGGUUAUCCCGUAGGUUCUCCGCACCUCAUCAAACUUUAUGUUGUGAUGAUCAAACUCGGAUGCCAUUUGUCUCGAAAUUCCUAUCAAUGUAAGGUGAUGGUUCGGUUUACUAGGAUCUAGGUGUUCAGGAGCCCAAAUCAAGGGAUUCUCUACUCACUUGAUUUUGUCGUCGUUGACCACCAGGUUAGAUCUAUUUGCUCCGCUUUUCUAUCUAUCGGAUUGUUUAGGUGUAAUGUAUAGAUCUGUAUAUUGGUGCGCGUGGUCUUGCGCCAUUUCCCCUUAUUUGUAGUGCCUUGGCGUAUAAGUGUUCGCUUUGUUUUUUUAUUUUCUCAAUUUCUUAUUCCUUCACUUGGUACGCACGGUUAAUAUGCCUUACUAGAUAGCGAGUUGGAAGAUAGGAAUGUUUCCUUUAUUUUCGUAAUAUCUGUCAUGAUUACUUGGUUUGAUUGUCCUUUUGAUUUUCCACUAUAUUGAUCUACUAUCUUGCUAAAGAAACUCCUUUAUUGGGGGUGCUUUUUGACUGAUUUACAAAGAGGCACAAUGGAAGGUACAGUUCCUGGAAAAGGAGUAGAUCAGUUUAGGGAUCAGAUGAAGGAGGGGUCUAUUUACACCACUGACAAAUUUGAUUUGUAUGAUCCUAGAAAGAGCUACAGGUCAGUGGAUCAUCCUUUGCCGAUCUUCUUUACUAUGAGGACUACUCUGUCAGAGGUGGUGCCGCCGCCGGAGAAUUUUCCUAUGUAUGCCUAUACUGUUGUCCCGUUUAGCAUGCUGUCAGAUUGCAUUGAUCAGAAUAACUUAUAACCAAUUUACAGAUGUUGUCGGACGGGUUAACAAAGUCACCGAUGUUUUUGCCUCCUUCUGGUACGAUAAAGAGCCAAAAGCAACAAAUUUAUAUCACAGACGGAAGGUGUCGAUCGCUGCUAUCUUUAAUUUGUGUUUUCCAUAGUGAGUAUUUGGUUCUCCUAAUUACCAUCUGGUUUAUACACGUGUUACUUUAUGAAGCGAGCAUGAUAUUGUUACUUUGUGGCGAGAGAUGUUGAUGGACUAAUGGAGGCAUCAAAUCAAGAACCUGCUAUCGUGUUAAUUGUUGGCAUAACUGUCAGUCAGUACUUAGGCAUUACGCUCUCACCUCUGUUUUUGUAUUGUCCUGUUGUAUUUCUUUUUUUCCUGAUUUGUGCUAGCUGUUGUAUCCAAUAAUGUGCUGCUGGCUAUUUGUUUAAUAACAUGCGUAUCUUGCAUAUGCCACAGGUCGAAGCAUCUGCCAAGGCACGCCGAAUUACACAGCGGAAACUAAAGUCAUGCAGAAUCGACGGUGUCAACGAUCGCGGAAAUAGCAACAUUCGAACCCAAUUGCAUCAUGGGUGAAUGGUACAAGAUGUCCAUUUGAAUUACUGAGGGUUCUUACAAACAAAAGCUGGUAUUACAUAAGUUGCAAAGAAUGUUAGAAAAAACUUAAGCUAGAGGAUAGGGUAUACAAAUGCCCUCAGUGUCCUGCUGUUAUACCUCAUCCGAGAUCCUCAUACCGGAAAAUUCGCAAACUUUAUUUGUUUGGGCUCGCGGAGAGGUUGUUGUCGGAAAAGAAGCAUUACACUUGUGUCCAGUGUCAGGGGAACGGCUAAUACUGUGCCUCGGGAUUUGCUUGCCAUUGUGGGAAGAGAGUUCAGCGUUGUUGUCGCUCCUAGACGUGAAUCUCGCUGAAUACAUUGCGCAGCCACCUUCGGAUACAGAUUGCUGAUCCGAUUUCCGUGCCAGUGUUACUCGACGACAGGGCAUGGAUGAUUCAGCCACAAGUCAAGGCAAUGAGAAUCUCUCUGCUCCUGAAACUCCAAAACAUGUUCAAGGUCCAAGUGAGACUUCCACUCCACCACCAUCUAUGGAUCCCACGCCACAAAGUGCAGCAUCAUCGUCUUAUUGAUGAGACUUGCUCUGAUGUGGCUGAAGGGUAAAAACGCAAAAAUGUUGGUGCCGGCAAGAACUCUAAAUCUAAGAAGGGAUUACACUUCACAGAUGAUCACUAGGAUCUUGGACACCAGGAUAUAAAGGGCACAAUAUCUUGGACAUGUGUCUACACACUGGUCUUCUGCAGAUGAAUGCAGCGAGGGAGCUAUGUUAUUGCCCAGUUUCUGUUGUUCAGGGGCUAUAUGUUUGGACCCUGAAUACACUUCCAUGUUUAUGUAUCUACGUCAACCACCCGUUUAGGCUAUGUGCUUAGGUUGUAUGUGUUGUUUAGCCUCAUAGAUGUUGUGUUUGGCUUGCUAGAACCCUUCACGAUUUGUCAGUUGCCGUUUCUAAUGUAUUAUAUCUUCCCCCGCACUUCUUAUGUUUUAUAUUGUACAAUUUCCAGGCUCUAUUAUUAUGUUAUGAUGACUAUGAUCAUUUGUUU